UGGCUGUAGCAAUAUGAAAGAUUUUAUUUGAGGAGUUUACUGGUCGGUUGUUGUUCUUUGUCAGCAUAUCUGCUUACCGAACUUCUUACAUUU
rfam:Nicotiana sylvestris Nsyl_contig186207, whole genome shotgun sequence.